rnacentral:sRNA from 1 species
UCCAAGAAAAAAAGUACCAAUGAUCCGUUUUUCGCGGCUGCCGCCCAACGGGGGUACAUUCCAGUGCUGUCGCGACCCUGCAAGCACAAG